CACGUAGGCGGCCUGGUAAGUCAGAUGUGAAAGCCCGGGGCUUAACCCCGGAAGUGCAUUUGAUACUGUCAGGCUUGAGUAUGGAAGAGGGAAGUGGAAUUCCUGGUGUAGAGGUGAAAUUCGUAGAUAUCAGGAGGAACACCGGUGGCGAAGGCGACUUCCUGGACCAAUACUGACGCUGAGGUGCGAAGGCGUGGGUAGCAAACAGGAUUAGAUACCCUGGUAGUCC
rnacentral:rRNA from 1 species